GUUGUCGUGGCCGAGUGGUUUAGGCGAUAGAUUCAACUUUCAUAUUUUUGGGAUCUUCCCGCGCAAGUUCGAAUCCUGCCGACAACG
rnacentral:tRNA from 1 species